AUGUAGCGAUAGGAAAUAGGCGCUUCCGCAUAAUCGGUAUGUGUCGCGCACUAAACUGUUUACGUAUGCACCGGUUAACAAAAUCGAUGUGUUCCGGCACUCGCAGUCAGAAAGAAGCUGUGUGUUCACUGUUGGCACAUUGAAUGAUUGGAUAAAUAAUGCUCUAUUGGAUAAAUACGUAAAGUACAUUGGACAGCUGUGAUUGUGGUGUGGACAGCUGAGAUUGUGUUUUGGACAGCUGAGAUUGUGACUUGGACAGCUGAGAUUGUGGUGUGGACAGCUGAGAUUGGUGUGGACAGCUGAGAUUGUGGUGUUGACAUCUGAAAUUGUGAUUUGGACAGCUGAGAUUGUGACUUGGACAGCUGAGAUUGUGCUGUGGACAGCUAAAAUUGUGGUGUGGAAUAAUGAUAUUGUGGUGUUGACAACAUAUUGUGGUGUGCACAUGUGAUAUUGUGGUGUGAUGGUUUAAAGUAGCAAAGGUAAAGAACGUUUGACAGCUUAGAUUGUGGUAUGGACAGCUGAUAUUGUGGUGUGGACAGCUGAGAUUGUCAUGUGGACUACUUAUAUUGUGGCUUGCAGAGCUGAUAUUGUGGUGUGAUGGUUUAAAGUACUAAAGAUUUAUUCCUUACUACCUUCCUGUCAACUAUAUCUUCCACAGCAUGAUUUAAUCUAGUCCCAAUCAUUGACUCUGGUUACCUCACCAGACGGUCCGUCCACAGAGUCACAAGCAACAGAUACUAAAACUCGGCAAAGUACAUG
rnacentral:lncRNA from 1 species